rnacentral:Y_RNA from 1 species
GGCUGGUCCAAGUGCAGUAGUGUUUAUAAGGACUUGAUCACAACUGGUGAAAGAUUUCUUCUUUUUCUGCUCACACUGCUUCACUUGACUAGCCUUGA